rnacentral:rRNA from 1 species
UGGAUUGAGAACAAUGUACAACUCUUAUCGAUAAGCCAUUGGAGGGCAAGUCUGGUGCCAGCAGCCGCGGUAAUUCCAGCUCCAAUAGCGUAUAUUAACGUUGUUGCAGUUAAAAAGCUCGUAGUUGAAGUGUGGGUGAUCGCUGUUGUGAGACUUCGGUCUCUCGACAGUAAGUCACCCCCUUCCAGUAUCCAGUAGUGGGUAUUCAGUUACUUACUAUUGUGUGUUGGUCGUUUACUGUGAGAAAAUUAGAGUGUUCAAAGCAGGCGUUUGCUUGAAUAGAUUAGCAUGGAAUAAUAAUUGAAGGCUUUCGUGUUCGAUUUGAUUGGUUUGUUCAUGGAAGCAAGGUUAAAAGGAACAGUUGGGGGUAUUCAUAUUCACUAGUUAGAGGUGAAAUUCUCGGAUUUAUGGAAGAUGAACAAG